GAUCAUGGCUCAGGACGAACGCUGGCGGCGUGCUUAACACAUGCGAGUUGAACGAGAAUCUGCGGAUCGAGGAUUCGUCCAAGUGAAGCAGAGGACAGUGGCGGACGGGUGAGUAACGCGUGAGGAACCUGCCUUUCAGAGGGGGACAACAGUUGGAAACGACUGCUAAUACCGCAUGAUACGUUUUAGGGGCAUCCCUGAGACGUCAAAGAUUUAUCGCUGAAAGAUGG
rnacentral:rRNA from 1 species